UACGUAGGGCGCAAGCGUUUAUCCGGAAUUAUUGGGCGUAAAGAGCUCGUAGGCGGUUUGUCGCGUCUGCCGUGAAAGUCCGGGGCUCAACUCCGGAUCUGCGGUGGGUACGGGCAGACUAGAGUGAUGUAGGGGAGACUGGAAUUCCUGGUGUAGCGGUGAAAUGCGCAGAUAUCAGGAGGAACACCGAUGGCGAAGGCAGGUCUCUGGGCAUUAACUGACGCUGAGGGGCGAAAGCAUGGGGAGCGAACAGG
rnacentral:rRNA from 1 species